UCCAGGAGGAAGAAAGAGACAACAGCAACAACCUGUUUUGCUGUAACAGUGUAACAGAAAAGCCCAGCCAGCAGGUGAACAACACCCAGGAAUAGCUGAAUUCAAGGAUAAGAUAUUAGUUACAGGCCAAUAGUCCUUUGGGGAUCCUGAAGCUGGAGAGCAUCACUGGGAACAAAGGAGAAACUGGUGUUGGAAAGAGACGGAUAGGAACCCUACACUGGACUACACAACCAAAAUCAAGAUUGCAGAAAAUGAAAUUAAUCUCUCAAAUGAAUUAUGAAAAAUUAUGAAAAUGAGGAACAGAUUGUGAAAAAAUGGG
rnacentral:lncRNA from 1 species